AGUCGUAACAAGGUAUCCGUAGGUGAACCUGCGGAUGGAUCAUUAACAAAGGUGUUUUUGAAGUUGUGUGAACAGUUGGAGGUGGUGGUAUUGGGUGGUGGUAUUGGGUGGUGGUAUUGGGUGGUAUUGGGUGGUAUUGAGUGGUGUAACCUUGGUCUAACCUUGGUCAACCUCACUCAACCUCACUCAACCUCACUCAACCUCACUCUCCCAACCUCACUCUCCCAACCUCCACCACUCCGUCCCUAUAAUGUAUACAAACUGAUGUCUGCUAGUUUCAAACUAAAACAACUUUUAGCAACGGAUCUCUUGGCUCUC
rnacentral:misc_RNA from 1 species